GCACGGGUGAGUAACACGUAUCCAACCUGCCGAUAACUCUGGAAUAGCCUUUCGAAAGAAAGAUUAAUACCGGAUGGCAUACGAAUAUCGCAUGAUAUUUUUAUUAAAGAAUUUCGGUUAUCGAUGGGGAUGCGUUCCAUUAGUUUGUUGGCGGGGUAACGGCCCACCAAGACAACGAUGGAUAGGGGUUCUGAGAGGAAGGUCCCCCACAUUGGAACUGAGACACGGUCCAAACUCCUACGGGAGGCAGCAGUGAGGAAUAUUGGUCAAUGGGCGAGAGCCUGAACCAGCCAAGUAGCGUGAAGGAUGAAGGCUCUAUGGGUCGUAAACUUCUUUUAUAUGGGAAUAAAGUUUUCCACGUGUGGAAUUUUGUAUGUACCAUAUGAAUAAGGAUCGGCUAACUCCGUGCCAGCAGCCGCGGUAAUACGGAGGAUCCGAGCGUUAUCCGGAUUUAUUGGGUUUAAAGGGAGCGUAGGUGGAUUGUUAAGUCAGUUGUGAAAGUUUGCGGCUCAACCGUAAAAUUGCAGUUGAAACUGGCAGUCUUGAGUAC
rnacentral:rRNA from 1 species